ensembl:snoRNA
GCAUGGGUUAGAUUUAUGGCAGACCUGUCCCUGUGGGCUUUUCAUAGUGUCCCUUGCCAGAGCAAACUGUGGUCCUGAACCAUUGCCUGGCCUCUGCCUGUGGGCUACUGGCAUGGAAAGGGGUUGCAUAAAG